rnacentral:tRNA from 1 species
GAGCUCAUCGUCUAAUGGAUAAGACAGGAGAUUCCUAAUUUUCAAAUGUAGGUUCAAAUCCUACUGAGCUUA